UACGGAGGGUGCAAGCGUUAUCCGGAUUCACUGGGUUUAAAGGGUGCGUAGGAGGGCAGGUAAGUCAGUGGUGAAAUCUCCAAGCUUAACUUGGAACUGCCGUUGAUACUAUCUGUCUUGAAUACCGUGGAGGUGAGCGGAAUAUGUCAUGUAGCGGUGAAAUGCUUAGAUAUGACAUAGAACACCAAUUGCGAAGGCAGCUCGCUACACGAAAUAUUGACUCUGAGGCACGAAAGCGUGGGGAUCAAACAGG
rnacentral:rRNA from 1 species